UACAGAGGGUGCAAGCGUUAAUCGGAAUUACUGGGCGUAAAGCGUGCGUAGACGGUUACAUAAGUCAGAUGUGAAAAGCCCCCGGGCUCAACCUGGGAAUUGCAUUUGAGACUGUGUAGCUAGGGUGCGGAAGAGGGAAGCGGAAUUUCCGGUGUAGCGGUGAAAUGCGUAGAUAUCGGAAGGAACACCAGUGGCGAAAGCGGCUUCCUGGUCCAGCACCGACGUUCAGGCACGAAAGCGUGGGGAGCAAACAGG
rnacentral:rRNA from 1 species